rnacentral:rRNA from 1 species
AGCAGCCGCGGUAAUUCCAGCUCCAAUAGCGUAUAUUAAAGUUGUUGCAGUUAAAGAGCUCGUAGUUGAAUUUCGGGAUCGAUACGUCGGUCGUGCUUUCGGGUACGUACUGGCGUCAUUGGUUUCUCCUUUCUGACGAACCAUGAUGUCAUUAAUUUGGUGUUAUGGGGAGUUAGGACUGUUAACUUUGAAAAAAUUAGAGUGUUUAAAGCAGGCAUUAGCCUGAAUACAUUAGCAUGGAAUAAUGAAAUAGGACGUUCGAUCCUAUUUUGUUGGUUUCUAGGAUCAACGUAAUGAUUAAUAGGGAUAGUUGGGGCAUUAGUAUUCAAUUGUCAGAGGUGAAAUUCUUGGAUUUUAUUGAAGACUAACUACUGCGAAAAGCAUUUGCCAAGGAUGUUUCAUUAAUCAAGAACGAAGUUAGGGGAUCGAAGACGAUCAGAUACCGUCGUAGUCUUAACCAUAAACCUAUACGACCGUACUAGGGGA